rnacentral:lncRNA from 1 species
UUUUUUUUUUUUUUUUUUUUGUCUUUUCUAGGGCCGCACCCGAAGCAUAUGGAGGUUCCCAGGCUAGGGGUCUGAUCGGAGCUAUAGCCGUCGGCCUACACCAGAGCCACAGCAACUCAGGAUCUGAGCCAAGUCUACGACCUACACCACAGCUCAUGGAAAUGCUGGAUCCUUAACCCCCUGAGUGAGGCCAGGAAUCGAACCCACAACCUCAUGGUUCCUAAUCGGAUUCAUUAACCACUGAGCCACAACGAGAACUCCCUGAUGACUUUUAGAUCAUACUGCUGAACAGUAAGAAUUUACAAAACCAAUGGAAAACCUGAAGGUUUCAUCCAGAUCAACAGGAAUCAAUUACAUGGGAGUAAGUGAACUGAUAAAUUUAUGAUUUUAUAACUUACUGAAAUAUUAUUGGCUUUAAUCUUUGUCUUAUAGAAGAUUUUUUCCUCUUACACUAAACUGUGAUCUACAACUUGAUAAACUGUAAACAAAGAUGAAACAUUAUUUAUCUUUUUCUCUCUGAGUGGCGUAGAGAAAUCAUGCCCAGAGCUAUAGUCUAAACAUGAUAAGAUAUGAGUGUUUCUAUAUGCAGUCUGGCCACUAGCUGCUAAUUGGUAGAAAGGGAGUUUCCCAGAGCCUGGAAUCGAUGCUGAGCUCACAUCCUUGCAGGGUGGGAAGGCAUUCUUAGGCACAGGAUGUAGAUGCUCAAAAAGUAGUGUUGCACAGACUCUCACUGCCACCUGAAGAAGAGAACAGUACUGGUAAGGACAAGCACACUGUGAAAACCCACUGCUUCUGAAUUUGCCUACAUUGAAACAACUCCCCCAUGAAGAGAACAAACACUGUACAGGUUGUCAUCUCCAGAAGGGAAGACUGAAGUGGCGGUCAGGCAAGUAGCAUGGAGCACAGGUGUCAGGAGGAAAAUGGAUGGCACUGGCAUUAUCUGUGGAGCUGGGGGUGAGGUGAGGGGACAGACGAUCAGAGGAUACCAUGUCCCCUCAUUUGGAUAAACUUCACAGUGUAUAAAGAGCCUUCAUGUACAUUUUCUCCUGUGCUUCCCCUCAGGCCUAGGAAGCAGCGGGAGAAAUUGGCGUAGCUUCUGCAGUGGCUCAGAUACUUGGGGAUGAAAGCUUGGCGUUAACCCAGGGGCACUUCUGUUCAUUGUGCCCACCUGGCUGAGUACCAAUGAUCUUGGCAGGAACAGAGGGCUUGCCACUCUUGAAGGCUGACAAUAGAUGAAAUGAGAUCCAAUUAUCAUAGUACUAUAUAGCUUUCCUUAUCUUCCCAAAUUUUCAAAAAAGCCCUUUGGUAUUUUUUUUUUUUCCUCUUUAUCUUGGGAGGAAAAAUGUAUUUGCUGUCCUCCUCUUGCCUGUCUUUCCCCCUUACCUGCAAGGUCAUUGCUUCACAAGACAGACACAAGGAUAACGCCAAGUGAGGCCACUGGAAUGGCUGACCUCCAAGGUUUCUCCCUCCUCUGGCAUUCCCUGACCCCAGAUACUUGUGCAGCUCUUUAUCCAAUCUUCAAGUGCCAGACUGCAUGGAUCAUGCAAACAUAAACACAAUCAAAUCAGAGUUUUAAGAUUUGAGAGUCAAAGGCAGAGACAAGUGAGAUGACAGCAAGUUGCCAAGGGGGUCUGUGGGAAGAUCACCUUCAAACCAAAGUCAGAAGUAGCCUUUGUUUCAUCCUCCUCAUGACAACCCAUUGGCAGCAGCAGCCACGCAUGAUGGAUGCCCUUUUCCGUCAAGGGCCCUGAUCCAUAGAGUGGGGAGAGGUGAGUGGAGGUCAGCCUGGGUUCACGGAGUAAGCAGAGGGUUCCAAGACAGGGUGAUGUGAUGACAAAGAGAAGGAGAGGGAUACUUUGGGGCUGAGGUAAAGUAGGUAUCCUGUCCUCACUGGCUUGCCAGCCCCAAACCUCACCGUCGGCUUCUUGAGAGAAGAGCUGUGCUACCUCUCCCUUGGUGAGUGUAUAUUUAUCCCUAAGGCCCCUUUUGUACUGCUGGUCUAGGAGGCCUGUGAAUUUAAGAUGUCUCACUGGAAUCCAGUAGGAGCCUCCUUUCUUUUUCUCCCUCAGCCAAUUUCCUAUUUAGACCUGCCCGGAAUCUCUAGUUUCUCAGCAGCUCUGGUUAUUCUUAGACUAUCUUCCAAUUUUGCAAAAUUUGCUUCUCUGCUCUGGCAUUCUCAUUUCCCUGGCUCACCUGUUUUUUAUUUUUUAUUUUUGGAGGAAGGGGUACAUUUCGCAUUGGAUUACUCUCUUAAGAGCCAUGUUGCAUUUGUGCUAAGACUGCCUUAGGCUCUUAUAUCCCUGGUAUUUGUAUAUUUCCAUACUGUGAAAGGCUGCUGGCUGCCUUCCCCACCCCUCACUCCCAUCUGUGCACAGACCACAUGCACAAACACACCCCUGGGAGCCCCAAAGAGUGGAGGACACUAGGCAGCAGCUAUCCAGGAGUACUCGAUAGACCAAAUUAGGAUGUUCAAAGCAAAGGAUGAUGGGGCCAAAGUGCCAGCACCACACUGGAUAAGGCGGCGUUCCCAGAGACACCUUCCCCAUUUGACAGCAGUGAUCCAGUGCCUAGGAGACUGCGGGUCCUGGAAAGCAGUCUCCUUCUUCCAAGCCGAGUGACACUGGAUUAAGUGACAACUUAAUCCUGUUUACUUACCUCAGAUGGAUUUUGUUAAGCUCACGUGGAUGCUGCAUGGAAAAUACCUGAUAUACAACAGGCAUUUGGCAAUACCAGGCCCCCAGUUCCCAUCUCUGUAUUUGGAUGUGUCCCCAUUGCCCUGCCCACAAGUCUGCACACAAAAGCUUGCCAGGACAGGGCACAUGACUACCAAAUAUUUCAACAGGAUUCUCACUUAAUUCACAAUUUCUGCAAAGCUAUAAGCAAUGAUAUAUUUGGGGGCAUUUGCUAUUUAAAAGCCUCUUAUUAUCUUGAAAGUAAUAGUAACACUAAUCAGAGAGACCACAACAUGAGGUCCUAGCACCCACCAUCCCAGGUUCUAAGAGCUUCUAUUUAUUGACUCAUUCAAUCCUCACAGUACUUGCUUAAAGUGCUGUUAUUAUCUCUACUGCUCAGACAAGGAAACUGAGGCAGAUAGGUUACAUGAUCUGCUGAGGUCACAAUGCCAGUGGCAGAGAAGCCAGGGGUCUGGUUCUAUACUCAUAAUCACUGUUCUAUACUGAAAAUAGUUGCCUUCUAUUUUUUGUUUAAUGUUUUCAGAUCUAGGGACUACUUAGAGCAGAAUUCUCAUGAAAUUACUUCCUAUCAAAGAACCAAUCUCUGCUGGCCUUCGGCUAGAAAAAAGUCAAUGUUUGUAACAUAUGAAUCACCAGGGAAGCUUUACCAUUCUAUAUCAGGAAUCAUUAAUUCAUGAAUUAGAUUUGAGAAAGACUAAACUUUAUACCCCUUGCCUUAAAAUCUAAAGCACACCUAAGGUUCACCAUACUUCUGGCAGCCAUCUGUCCUGUCACUGUAAUAGGCAUAGGAAUUUUAGGAAAUGAUUUUAUUCAGUCUAGGACAUCUACACUGUAGGAAUUAGCAGUGACCCAACCUCUUUUAAAAAUAACGUAGAUCAGGGAGUUCCCACUGUGGCUCAGUGGGUUAAGAAUAUGACUAGUAUCCAUGAAGAUGUGCAGGUUCAAUCCCUGGCCUCGCUCAGUGGGUUAAGGAUCUGGAGUUGCCAUGAGCUAUAGAGUAGGUUGCAGACACGGCUCAGAUCUGGUACUGCUGUGGCUGUGGGGUAGGCUGGCAGCUGCAGCUCCAAUUUGAUCCUUAGCUUGGGAACUUACAUAUGCCACGGGUGUGGCCC